AUACUUUACCAAAAGAGAUUCAAAAAAUAAUUGGCAAUGAAUAUUUGUUCCAACUGCAUCUUGAUGAAUAUAAUUUGAAGUAUGGAAAAGAAAAUUACACGGUCUCAAAAAUUUUGGAGAUGGAAGUUUUACAUAAGCAAAAAGACUCAAGUAAAGUUGAAGAACAUCAGGAAACAAUGGAGGAAAUUGUAAGAAAAUCAAGGAAGGACAAGUACACAGCCAAUCAAAAAAUAGAAAUAGGAGAAACAUCUGUUCAAAGACCUGAAAGAAUGCCGCUCCAAAUGCUUCAAAAACGUCAAAAAAGUACUAAGCAAAUUGCUACAAAGAAGAAAAAAAA